UACGGAGGGUGCGAGCGUUGUCCGGAAUCACUGGGCGUAAAGGGCGCGUAGGCGGCUUUGUAAGUCGGGGGUGAAAGCCUGUGGCUCAACCACAGAAUUGCCUUCGAUACUGCAUGGCUUGAGACCGGAAGAGGUAAGUGGAACUGCGAGUGUAGAGGUGAAAUUCGUAGAUAUUCGCAAGAACACCAGUGGCGAAGGCGGCUUACUGGUCCGGUUCUGACGCUGAGGCGCGAAAGCG
rnacentral:rRNA from 1 species